rnacentral:snRNA from 1 species
GUGUUGUUUCAGCAGCACACAUAACAAAAUUUUGAAAACUACAGAGAUUAGCAUGUGCAAGGAUGACAUACAAAUGUGUUAAAUGUUUCAUAUUUUA